rnacentral:rRNA from 1 species
UGCUGACGAGGUGGACGGAACGGGUGAAGUAAUGCAGUACGGAACGUCGACCCAAGUCGGUAGGGGAUAACGUAGACGAAAGUUACGCUAAUACCGCAUAAGCCCUGGAGGGGGAAAGUGGGGGACCGCAAGGCCUCACGCGAAUGGAGCGGCCGAUGUCAGAUUAGCUAGUUGGUGGGGUAAAGGCCCACCAAGGCGACGAUCUGUAGCGGGUCUGAGAGGAUGAUCCGCCACACUGGAACUGAGACACGGUCCAGACUCCUACGGGAGGCAGCAGUGGGGAAUAUUGGACAAUGGGCGCAAGCCUGAUCCAGCAAUGCCGCGUGUGUGAAGAAGGCCUGCGGGUUGUAAAGCACUUUCAGUGGGGAAGAACAGAUUCGGGUCAAUACCCCGGAGCCCUGACGUUACCCACAGAAGAAGCACCGGCUAACUCCGUG